ACCGAUACGCAUGACUAUGACGUCAAGAUGCGCAACGUGUUCCGGUUUCUGGAAGGUGGCGACAAGGUGAAGGUGACUCUGCGUUUCCGGGGCCGUGAAAUGGCGCACCAGAAUCUUGGUCGCGGACUGCUGGAGCGGAUUGCCGAGGACGCCAAGGAAGUCGGCAAGGUCGAAAACAUGCCCAAGAUGGAAGGUCGUCAGAUGAUCAUGAUGAUCGGCCCGCUUACCAAAUAAAUCCGGGUUUUCCCUGAUUUUCCGACAGGCGGCCCUUCGGGGCCGCUUUUUCGUUUUACGGAUUGUUUCUCCGCACGAGGAACCUG
rnacentral:misc_RNA from 1 species